rnacentral:rRNA from 1 species
CCAAUAGCGUAUAUUAAAGUUGCUGCAGUUAAAAAGCUCGUAGUUGAAUUUCGGGAUCAAUAUGUUGGUCGUGCCUCGGUACGUACUGGCUUAUUGAUUUCUCCCUUCUGACGAACCAUGAUGUCAUUUAUUUGGUGUCGUGAGGAAUCAGGACUGUUACUUUGAAAAAAUUAGAGUGUUUAAAGCAGGCUCACGCUUGAAUACAUUAGCAUGGAAUAAUGAAAUAGGACGUUUGAUUCUAUUUUGUUGGUUUCUAGGAUCGACGUAAUGAUUAAUAGGGAUAGUUGGGGGCAUUAGUAUUCAAUUGUCAGAGGUGAAAUUCUUGGAUUUAUUGAAGACUAACUACUGCGAAAGCAUUUGCCAAGGAUGUUUUCAUUAAUCAAGAACGAAAGUUAGGGGAUCGAAGACGAUCAGAUACCGUCGUAGUCUUAACCAUAAACUAUGCCGACUAGGGAUCGGAUGAUGUUAAUUUUUUAAUGACUCA